CAGCCCUAAACGAUGCGCGUUAGGUGUAUCGGUGACCACGAGUCACCGAGGUGCCGAAGGGAAACCGUGAAACGUGCCGCCUGGGAAGUACGGUCGCAAGGCUGAAACUUAAAGGAAUUGGCGGGGGAGCACAACAACGGGUGGAGCUUGCGGUUUAAUUGGAUUCAACGCCGGAAAUCUUACCGGGACCGACAGCGGAAUGAUUGCCGGGCUGAAGACCCUGCAUGACCAGCUGAGAGGAGGUGCAUGGCGUAGUCGUGU
rnacentral:rRNA from 1 species